AUAUGCAAGCUCACUUAAGACAUUCAAGGAGGUCUGGAUCCUUUCCUCACUGCCCAGGCCCGGGCCCACCCCACCUUUAACCGUCAGGGUUCCCCACUACCUGGGAAGCCCCACACCCUCCAAAGAUGCGCUAGGUGCGCCAGACGCAUGCUCCUCUGCUCCGCUGGCUCCGAAGAACCAGAUCUGAGGCCAAGAUAAAACCCGAUUCCUGAUGUCCGACCCCCUAACAUUAGAAGUCGAGAGAUGAAGGGAAAACUCGGAAAUCAGAGCCAUGGAUUCAAACCAGCACUGGAAAAUGCCCCGGGACAGUUCGUGCUGAGCGCCUUAGCCACAGGAAACAUUUUCCUGGGCAUCUAAAAGUAUUGUGGACCUGAGACACUGUGCUUACAGGGCCUACUGGUUUUCACUGUAUGAGACCGAGAAUGGAUUAUGGCAGUUCCUCUUACCUCCGCUGCAUACUUGACUCCAUCCACGGUGUGCUCAGAGCCAUGAUCAUCCGAAGAGCCCCAGUGAAGAUGAAACUGGCGAAGUCGGUAGGGUCCAGGGAGAGGACCCCCUCUCAGCACUGUGAUUCAGAUAAGCUUGGUCAACAGUGAAUUCAUGCUUCUUUUACAGAGCUCUACUUUAACCAAGUGCUCUUAGAGCCAAGGCUUAAUGGACAAAAUGUGGUCAGUUUGCUGGGUGGAUGGUGCCACUCCCAGGACACUGGACUCCUCACAAAAUGAAGUCUGGGGAUAUGUCAAGAUAAAUGAUUGUUCUUUUCUGUCUUUCUUAUUUUGUUUGCUUGUUUCAUUAUUAUUGAAACAUCAUUUUAACAUUUAGGAAAGCAAAA